rnacentral:rRNA from 1 species
GAUGAACGCUGGCGGCGUGCCUAAUACAUGCAAGUCGAGCGAACAGACGAGGAGCUUGCUCCUCUGACGUUAGCGGCGGACGGGUGAGUAACACGUGGAUAACCUACCUAUAAGACUGGGAUAACUUCGGGAAACCGGAGCUAAUACCGGAUAAUAUAUUGAACCGCAUGGUUCAAUAGUGAAAGACGGUUUUGCUGUCACUUAUAGAUGGAUCCGCGCUGCAUUAGCUAGUUGGUAAGGUAACGGCUUACCAAGGCAACGAUGCGUAGCCGACCUGAGAGGGUGAUCGCCCACACUGGAACUGAGACGCGGUCCAGACUCCUACGGGAGGCAGCAGUAGGGAAUCUUCCGCAAUGGGCGAAAGCCUGACGGAGCAACGCCGCGUGAGUGAUGAAGGUCUUCGGAUCGUAAAACUCUGUUAUUAGGGAAGAACAAAUGUGUAAGUAACUAUGCACGUCUUGACGGUACCUAAUCAGAAAGCCACGGCUAACUACGUG